GUGACCAGGAAAAAGAAUCCCAAACUGUCAUUAUGAGCAAGCACAAAACUGAUACACAGAUUUCUUUCUGAGGGCUGUGUGAAACCUUAUUCCCACUGACUUGCCAAGAAAUCCACAGCAACAUAAAGGAAAGGCAAAUCAACUUUUUACAACAUAACAAGUGAUCUUCAUUAAGAGAUGCUUUUCUGCAGGCUGCAGUCUGCAGUUACAGCAAAUAGGAAGGGAACAAUACAGGUCAAAUGGAAGUGCUGGAAAAAUAAAUCCUCAGCCAUCUUCAACUCAGUUCUGAUCCUCCACCCUCAGCACAGCGAGACUUCUCUGAAAACAAACAUUCACUCCUGAAUAAACAUCUUUGAGGUGAGGAACAAUGAAUAAUUACUUCUUAAGGUCUGUCUUAUAAUGGGCGACUAGUUUUCUCUAUACAAAGGAGGAGUCACUUCCUGACUCCAGAAAUGCAUAAUCUCUCUCUCUCAGCAGAGGUACACACA